rnacentral:rRNA from 1 species
UACAGAGGGGGCAAGCGUUGUUCGGAAUUACUGGGCGUAAAGGGCGCGUAGGCGGCCUUCUAAGUCGAACGUGAAAUCCCCGGGCUCAACCCGGGAACUGCGUCCGAUACUGGGAGGCUUGAAUCCGGGAGAGGGAUGUGGAAUUCCAGGUGUAGCGGUGAAAUGCGUAGAUAUCUGGAGGAACACCGGUGGCGAAGGCGGGUCUCUGGGCCGUAACUGACGCUGAGGAGCGAAAGCGUGGGGAGCGAACAGG